rnacentral:rRNA from 1 species
UACGGGGGGUGCAAGCGUUAAUCGGAAUCACUGGGCGUAAAGGGUGCGUAGGCGGUGCAUUAGGUCUGUCGUGAAAUCCCCGGGCUCAACCUGGGAAUGGCGGUGGAAACCGGUGUACUAGAGUAUGGGAGAGGGUGGUGGAAUUCCAGGUGUAGCGGUGAAAAGCGUAGAGAUCUGGAGGAACAUCAGUGGCGAAGGCGGCCACCUGGCCCAAUACUGACACUGAGGCACGAAAUCCAGGGGAGCGAACGGG